rnacentral:misc_RNA from 1 species
UCUCCGUUGGUGAACCAGCGGAGGGAUCAUUGCUGGAACUGUGUCCGCAAGGACACAACCCCAGAUACCCUUUGUGAACCAACGCGUGGGCCGAGUACGGGUUCAUACCCCGAAGGCUCGCGAUCUUCUUUUUAUACAUAUAUACCCCCGAGAAAGUCUCAGAAUGUGCACUGCGUUAACUCGCAUAAAUACAACUUUCAGCAACGGAUCUCUUGGCUCUCGCAUCGAUGAAGAACGCAGC